AACCCCCCUGAAACCCUCUCAUCGUAGUAGUCGUUCCCUCUCCCUCUCCCACCGUCGGCAGCCGUACAACCAACCUCUGUUCAUCAACCCUGCAGAUCCACUGUCCUCAGAUUCAUUCUGAUCCAUUCGUCCCUGGAAAUUCGUGCAGAUCUGUUUGUCGCCCCCCCCCAAUUCGUCGUUCAGAUCCAUGCUCUGAUUUGCUAUUAAAUUGGCAAGGCUCCACAGGCAGAUGGGACUAAUAGUAGUAAAUACUUAUCUUCUUGCUGCAACUCUCCAAGUUUUUCCAAUGGACCUUCCAAGGAGCUCAAGGAAAAUAUCUCAGUCCAUUGUAGUGAUGAAGAGGUUGAUGAUCCUCAAGAUCUUGGAAGCGAUGAAGAAGAUUUGAGUGAAGAUGGUGACAAACAGAUUCAUGAAGAGGUAUCAUGUGGUUCUAUGUACAAGAACUAUUAGUUAAAUAUGUUUCAAAGCGUGGUGUCCACAAUUAUUUUUUUGACUUCUC